GACGAACGCUGGCGGCGUGCUUAACACAUGCAAGUCGAACGGAAAGGCCCUGCUUUUGUGGGGUGCUCGAGUAGCGAACGGGUGAGUAACACGUGAGUAACCUGCCCUUGACUUUGGGAUAACUUCAGGAAACUGGGGCUAAUACCGGAUAGGAGCUCCUGCUGCAUGGUGGGGGUUGGAAAGUUUCGGCGGUUGGGGAUGGACUCGCGGCUUAUCAGCUUGUUGGUGGGGUAGUGGCUUACCAAGGCUUUGACGGGUAGCCGGCCUGAGAGGGUGACCGGCUACAUUGGGACUGAGAUACGGCCCAGACUCCUACGGGAGGCAGCAGUGGGGAAUAUUGCACAAUGGGCGGAAGCCUGAUGCAGCAACGCCGCGUGCGGGAUGACGGCCUUCGGGUUGUAAACCGCUUUCGCCUGUGACGAAGCGUGAGUGACGGUAAUGGGUAAAGAAGCACCGGCUAACUACGUG
rnacentral:rRNA from 1 species